AGAGGGCGCGUCCGCAGGCGGGAUUCAACGCUGCGAGAACAAGGCUUGGCUCGGUCACGCCUCCCGUGUCCGUGGAGGUUCAUGAGACUAACAGGAAGGGCUGCCAGAACAGAUCUAAAAGCAAAAAAAAAAAAAAAAAAAAAAAAAGUUGGAAACGCGCUAAACCACACCUGCCUCAGCCUGCUGUUCUCCUGUGGUUCCUGUUGUUCCCAUGAGCCCUCCCUCUAGGCUGCAGGGCCGGGACCUCGCUGCCGUUGGCCAGCAGCAGCACCUGAUGCUUCCCUCUGUUCCACGGGGAAGCUGGAGCUGUGAGGAGCGAGGCGCAAAGAGCUGUUGGUGUGCUGCGGCAAACUGCACUGUCUCGGGUAGGAAGUCAAACCAAGAAAGCAGGAAGGGACAAAAAGUGGGUACUUGGCUAAUGAUCAUCCUAAAACAUAGAAGACUUCUCAGCCCAGAACAAAAGUGCUUGAGUUGGAGUUUGGAUGAUGCAGAGAGUUUGUGACUGGAACAUGAAAAUCUGGGUGCCCAUCCAGGGCAAGUGGGAGCCUGCCAGAACAGUCCUGUGACUGCUGGACGCAUCUCCGUGUACGAGCAGCGCUCUCUGGGCACUCCACCCCCACAUGAGACAAGAGGGAGCCGCAGACUGCAUGUUGGUAGGCUUACAGUUGCCAUGAGGCUUCUUCGGGUGACAUACACGAAGUUGCUGGGGAGGCCCUACCAAUGGCACACGGAAAAGAUGUCUUUGACUACAUGCAUUGGAAACACCGAGAGCCAAAGGCUCCAAAGAACACCUUUCUGACUUAAUAUCGAAGAGCAUGGUGGAUGUGUUUCUAAGGCUAAUGUGGUGUUGCAGGAAGCAGCUGAGAGCAGUCAAUAGCCCAGUGUUCCAGUCAUGCUGAGACAGAAGGAGAAGAAUGAGCUGCUGAGAUCCCCUAGAGACUGGAGAAAGAGGAAGAGACUCCUGAUAGGAGGAUUAGUGCAACCCCAAGAUCAUUAUAUGGGUACUGUAACUGGGGAAACAGCAAGCUGACAGAAGAAAGCUUUGUGUGAAAUAAAGGGUCCUUCCCAUCA